GUCGUGAGAUGUUGGGUUAAGUCCCGCAACGAGCGCAACCCUUGUCCUUAGUUGCUACAUUUAGUUGGGCACUCUAGGGAGACUGCCGGUGACAAACCGGAGGAAGGUGGGGAUGACGUCAAGUCCUCAUGGCCCUUAUGGGUAGGGCUUCACACGUCAUACAAUGGCCGGUACAGAGGGUUGCCAAGCAGCGAUGCGGAGCCAAUCCCAGAAAGCCGGUCGUAGUCCGGAUUGCAGUCUGCAACUCGACUGCAUGAAGUCGGAAUCGCUAGUAAUCGCGGAUCAGCAUGUCGCGGUGAAUACGUUCCCGGGUCUUGUACACACCGCCCGUCACACCAUGGGAGCGGGAUGUACCAGAAGUAGGUAGGCUAACCGCAAGGGGGCCGCUUACCACGGUGCGUUUCGUGACUGGGGUGAAGUCGUAACAAGGUAGCCGUAUCGGAAGGUGCGGCUGGAUCACCUCCUUUCUCGGAAACAGGGAUCAGGAAUCAGGGAUCAGGGAUCAAACCCGGAUCGCUGCCCUGCCAUCCCCAUUCCCAAGCUGCGAGUACCCACAACCUAUCGGUUGCACGACACUGUGCAGCACGACACGACACCGGGCCUGUAGCUCAGUUGGUUAGAGCACCGUCUUGAUAAGGCGGGGGUCGAUGGUUCGAAUCCAUCCAGACCCACCAGGAUCAAGACCGGGGCUGUAGCUCAAUUGGGAGAGCGCCUGCUUUGCAAGCAGGAGGUCGUCGGUUCGAUCCCGUCCAGCUCCACCAGUCAGGCAGGACCUAUCGGUUGCACGCCAGCACUCAGCGGUGCGCUUUCAGAACGAUGAGAGCGCAGUGUUGAGAGCUGCAGUGUUCUUUAACAAUUGGGAAGGUAAGGGUUCACAUGACUUGAUGAGAGUCGUGUGAGCAAUAGGGUUGAGUUGUAUCUUCAACAGCCGGUCACCUUUUAAAAAGGGGGGUGAGCGGUGGCGCGAGCACAACGUAACGGUGGAGUCCGAACGAGGGCUUACAGUUAUGGGGUCAAGCGACUAAGUGCAUGUGGUGGAUGCCUUGGCGAUUACAGGCGAUGAAGGACGUGGCAGCCUGCGAAAAGCUGCGGGGAGCUGGCAAACGAGCAUUGAUCCGCAGAUGU
rnacentral:sRNA from 1 species